rnacentral:tRNA from 1 species
GCGCUGGUAGCUCAGUUGGUUAGAGCGGGCCGCUCAUAACGGUCUGGUCGCGGGUUCAAGUCCUGCCCAGCGCA